CAGGAUGAACGCUAGCUACAGGCUUAACACAUGCAAGUCGAGGGUAGCAGGGUAGCAAUACCGCUGACGACCGGCGCACGGGUGAGUAACACGUAUCCAACUUCCCAUAACUCAGGGAUAGCCUUUCGAAAGAAAGAUUAAUACCUGAUAGUACUUUUUCAAGGCAUCUUGAGAAAGUUAAAGAUUUAUUGGUUAUGGAUGGAGAUGCGUUCCAUUAGAUAGUUGGUGAGGUAACGGCUCACCAAGUCUUCGAUGGAUAGGGGUUCUGAGAGGAAGGUCCCCCACAUUGGUACUGAGACACGGACCAAACUCCUACGGGAGGCAGCAGUGAGGAAUAUUGGUCAAUGGGCGAGAGCCUGAACCAGCCAAGUAGCGUGAAGGAUGAAGGUCCUAUGGAUUGUAAACUUCUUUUAUAGUAGAAUAAAGUGAUCCACGUGUGGAUUUUUGUAUGUAUACUAUGAAUAAGGAUCGGCUAACUCCGUGCCAGCCGCUGC
rnacentral:rRNA from 1 species